rnacentral:rRNA from 1 species
AAGACCUUGCGCUUUUGGAGCGGCCGAUGCCUGAUUAGCUUGUUGGUAAGGUAAAAGCUUACCAAGGCUUCGAUCAGUAGCUGGUCUGAGAGGACGACCAGCCACACUGGGACUGAGACACGGCCCAGACUCCUACGGGAGGCAGCAGUGGGGAAUUUUGGACAAUGGGGGCAACCCUGAUCCAGCCAUGCCGCGUGAGUGAAGAAGGCCUUCGGGUUGUAAAGCUCUUUCAGCCGGAACGAAACGGUUACGGAUAACACCCGUGACUACUGACGGUACCGGAAGAAGAAGCACCGGCUAACUACGUGCCAGCAGCCGCGGUAAUACGUAGGGUGCGAGCGUUAAUCGGAAUUACUGGGCGUAAAGCGUGCGCAGGUGGUUUCGUAAGUCAGAUGUGAAAGCCCCGGGCUCAACCUGGGAACU